UACAGAGGUGGCAAGCGUUGUUCGGAAUUACUGGGCGUAAAGGGCGCGUAGGCGGUUCGUUAAGUCCUGUGUGAAAUCCCCCGGCUCAACUGGGGAACUGCACAGGAAACUAGCGGGCUUGAGUUCGGGAGAGGGAAGCGGAAUUCCGGGUGUAGCGGUGAAAUGCGUAGAUAUUGGGAGGAACACCAGUGGCGAAGGCGGCUACCUGGACCGGUUCUGACGCUGAGGCGCGAAAGCGUGGGUAGCAAACAGG
rnacentral:rRNA from 1 species